UUUUUUCAUUUUCAGAAACCCUCGCCCACUCUCACUUAACCAAAAUCCAUAGCAAUAUUCCAUCUUUUCGUUCAGUUAAUCUCUUCCUUGGAGGUUUUCGUUCAGUUAAUCAAAAUCCAGACCAAAUUUCCUCCGAUUUCAAGCUCAUGUAGUUGAACAAUUCCAAAUACAAUGGCUCUCUGCAGCGCCUCCUCUGUUGCAAAAUGAAAGAGAUAUGAAAGAAAAUUUUAGAUCUAUCAAUCAAUUGUAUAAUCGGUAUAUUUUGAAGAAAUUUGGUAGAAUCGUUGUAUUUUAAAUCGGCAAAAAUUUGGUAGAAUACGUGUAUUUUGAAGAAGGAUAUAACACUCUUUGUUGAAAUUGAGAUAGCUCCUGUGGAUCUUCAGAGAAGACGCAAUUGUCGCCGACUGCUUUUCCUCUUUCUGCUCUACGUUGUGUUUGAAUCAGUCUCAAGGUA